rnacentral:rRNA from 1 species
GGUAUUUUUAGGAUGUAUUUUUCCGUAUAAUAAGUCAAUAUUGAUUUGAUCAUCAUAAAAUGAUCGGAAAAAUGUAGUUUUGAUCUUGUAUCGGAGUGUUAUACCUUUGAUAAAUGUGACGAUUGGGAUUAAGGAUUGCAACGAAUACCCUUUUGGGCUAUCAUCUGACCUCUAAAAGUCGCUCAAGUGUCGAAAGCGUGCUUAUGACAUUCUAGUUGGCGUCAAAAGGUUAGAACGCGAUUACAUUCGUUAAGGAUGUUGACGUAAUGGCUUUAAACGA